rnacentral:tRNA from 1 species
GGAGAGAUGUCCGAGCGGUUGAAGGAGCACGCCUGGAAAGUGUGUGAACUCCACAAGGGUUCCGAGGGUUCGAAUCCCUCUCUCUCCGCCA